rnacentral:rRNA from 1 species
AUUGAACGCUGGCGGCAUGCCUUACACAUGCAAGUCGAACGGUAACAGGUCUUCGGAUGAUGACGAGUGGCGCACGGGUGCGUAAUACAUCCGAACGUGCCCGAUCGUGGGGGAUAACGAGGCGAAAGCUUUGCUAAUACCGCAUACGCUCUACGGAUUAAAGCGGGGGAUCUUCGGACCUCGCGCGGACGGAGCGGCCGAUGGCAGAUUAUGUAGUGGGUGGGAUAAAAGCUUACCAAGCCGACGAUCUGUAGCUGGUCUGAGAGGAUGAUGAGCCAGACUGGGACUGAGACACGGCCCAGACUCUUACGGGAGGCAGCAGUGGGGAAUUUUGGGCGAUGGGCGAAAGCGUGAUCCAGCCAUGCCGCGUGCAGGAUGAAGGCCUUCGGGUGGGAAAAUGCUGAUGUACGGAAGGAAGAGCCUCUUUCUAAUAAGGAGGGGUCAUGACGGUACCGUAAGAAUAAGCACCGGCUAACUACGUG